CUUCGUGCUCGCACAUAUCCAGUCUCUGAUCCUGUGUGGUGUUGAUCUGGCUGAUCAGCCCAUACUGGUGCACAUAUGGAAGCUUUGUUGUAAGUGCCACCGAGGCCAAGGUUGUCCUGCAAGUGAAAGGCACCUAUUGUGAGUUCCUCAGCAGGGUCUGCUUUGUUUCCAAGGGGGAUUUAGGUGAUUACUUCGCAGGAAGCUGACACACAAAGGCACUCAGAUGUCAUGAUGAUUAGAUGGGGUAGAUAGAGUAGGGAGUAAUGGAACUAAGGAAGGAGGCUGACAGUAUUUUCCACUUGUUUCUUGGGUGGGAAGUCACUCCCAACAGCAGAGCGGGGGAUUGGGUGUCAUCUUCUACUGCUGUCUGCUGGCAGCAGUGCAGGUGGGACUCCCUGGCCAGCAGCCCUGCAGGCUGCCCGACUUGUUGAGCCAGUUUCACCUUAAGAUGUAAUUAAGCGGUCUUGUUGAAUGCAGCAGGGAAGAAAGAGCAGUAUGUUCUGGUGUCGUUUUCAUGUGUCGUGCCAACGCUAGAGUAUGUGGAGCAUGAAAACAGGUAACUCUUUAGCACCGAGUGCUCACUAGCGAGUGCAAAGCUUAAGAUCUGGGCAAGGCAGGGCGUUUUCAGGACCGUGUAAUGUUGUCUAAAGGAGGGGAAUAGUUGGUACCAAAGCAGAUUGAUCUCGUGCCUGUAACGUGUCCCAGUAGCUGAGGAAAUCCUAUUUAAUGGGAGAACAGUCUUUGUGUAAACAGAAACAGCGGCUCCAUGCAAGGUUAAAACCUCUGCCACCACCCUGAGCCAUCUGAGUCAAAACAUGAGGUAAUAGGAGGUGAGGAAUUAAGAAACCACGCUCUGUUCCCAGCUCUCAGACAAAGCUGCUAAGAAUAGAGGUGGGAUGAGGAAGGGGAAGGAAAGUUGGGAGGAGAAGUCAAGGCAUUUCCUUUGAGGCCCCUAAAGGGCCUGGAAAGGUUCAGAGAUGACCUUCUUUUCCUCUGUGUUCUGUAUCUCCAUAGCCUUUUCUGGAUGCUUCAGCUGGUCCUGUCACUGCCCAGAUAAGCACCAUUUGUUCUGAAUGAGGCACUUCCAGCCCCUCUGCUUGACCUCACGUAAACCCUGUGAGAUUUAUUGACCCAGAGUAGUUUUUUCCAAGGUGCUAAUAGCCUGCAGGCACCAUUGACUUCAGAUGAAGUGAUGCUCAGCUCUCUCCCUGUAGAUCAGCCACUUUAGGUUGGACACUUGAAGCUUGAAACACUUGUAGUUAGAGGAUGCGUUUGAAAAUGUGGGUUCCAGACAUCCUUGUAUCUGAACUUCCUCAUCUAUCAAACAGAAAUCAUUAUCUGGCUAAUUAGCAUGAUGCUUCUGUAUCUGUCCACGUAGCGGUCUCUGGGUCUACUUACUUAGAUGACUGAAGUGCUCUGCCUGAGGAGACUGCCUAAAGCUGAGACACGUGUGGGUCACAGAUAUGUUCCUGAUCAAUUGUUAAUGUACACUGACAUGGGUUGGCUCAACUUCAGACAUCAUGACCGUGGUUUAAGUGAACAGAAUUGCAAUUGUCUGAGUAAACAGUGUCUUCGUAGGAGUUCUUUCAGUUCUACACCCAGCAAGUGUGAUUAAAAAAGACAAAAUUAAACAAACAAAAAUCACUCACUUUUUCUUCCUUGAAAAAUGCCUGUCAUUCAUUCUGAUUUGUUAGCAAUGAAAGGCCAAGCAAAUAAGGAGAAAAUAUAUUUCUGUCUUCCCCAAGGACUUUGCAGAAGCGUGUGUGGUGCAGAAAUACAAGCUGCCUUCUUACUUGAACUGGCCCUUAAACUGUGAAUAUUGCUUGCUGAUUUUGGCACCUCAUUACCAGCAUUUCCAUGGCAUUUUCAGAAGAACAGCACAGCUCCCAGCAUGAGCAGAUGACAAAGUUGAAUUUAACUUUCAGACCCUUCCAAAAUGAAUAAAUAACUAAAUAAACCAAAGUGGAGUCAAAGAAGAGGAUCAACUUCUGAGCACAAGUGUCCGUCCAGCUUUGUGACACAGGUGUGUGGGAACAAGGUGGGAACAACGGGAGUUCCCUGUUGUGAAUCUCAGAGCAGUGAAAUUUCAUCCUGGUUCUGAGACAGCAGCAACGGAAGCAAAAUCUAUGUUGGUUCUCAGUGUGCCACCUGACAAACUCUUGGAAACAGUGCUGUCCAACACGAUGAACAUCAGAGGUAGAAAUAGGAGAAAAGAAGAAAAUGGUCUUGAGAUUGUGUUGAAAAACUCAACUUCUGCUCAUGAUUUUGCCAGAGACUGAAGGCUAAGGAAACCUUGCUUCUCUCUUGCAAAUGGUUCAUUUGCUUUUAAUGAGAUUUCAAGUGUGUUGAUCAGUACCGGCUUUGUACCAUGACUAUGAUGGAUCCCCUAGCUGGUCACUCAGCAGUCAGAGCCCUGCCUGUCCCUCCAGGUCCCUUUAUCCUGAGCAGACCCAGCACUGGCCCUCCUCUCAGACUCUGGUGCAUAGGUUUUCUUCAGCCCAUCAAACUGGGAGCACUCUAAACCAGUUAUGUGCUGACAGUGACACAAUAGUUGAAGUAGACAAACUCCUCAACCUUCCCAGGGUUCCAGAUGUAGGAGUAUUUUACUUGACUAGCACAAUAAAUGUCUAGGUUUAGACAAAAUAAUAAAACCAGCUGCACACA